GACGUAGGGCGCGAGCGUUGUCCGGAUUUAUUGGGCGUAAAGAGCUCGUAGGCGGCUUGUCGCGUCGGCUGUGAAAACCCGCGGCUCAACUGUGGGCGGCGGGCGAUACGGGCAGGCUGGAGUACUGCAGGGGAGACUGGAAAUUCCUGGUGUAGCGGUGGAAUGCGCAGAUAUCAGGAGGGAACACCGGUGGGCGAAGGCGGGGUCUCUGGGGCAGUAAACU
rnacentral:rRNA from 1 species